GAUGAACGCUAGCGGGAGGCCUAACACAUGCAAGCCGAGCGGUAUUGUUUCUUCGGAAAUGAGAGAGCGGCGUACGGGUGCGUAACACGUGUGCAACCUGCCUUUAUCUGGGGGAUAGCCUUUCGAAAGGAAGAUUAAUACUUCAUAAUAUAUUGAACGGCAUCGUUUAAUAUUGGAAGCUCCGGAGGAUAGAGAUGGGCACGCGCAAGAUUAGCUAGUUGGUGAGGUAACGGCUCACCAAGGCGAUGAUCUUUAGGGGGCCUGAGAGGGUGCUACCCCACACUUGGACUGAGACACGGACCAGACUCCUACGGGAGGCAGCAGUGAGGAAUGUUGGUCAAUGGGUGCAAGCCUGAACCAGCCAUCCCGCGUGAAGGACGACUGCCCUAUGGGUUGUAAACUUCUUUUGCCUAGGGAUAAUCCUACCCUCGUGAGGGUAGCUGAAGGUACUAUACGAAUAAGCACCGGCUAACUCCGUGCCAGCAGCCGCCGUAA
rnacentral:rRNA from 1 species